rnacentral:rRNA from 1 species
AGAGUUUGAUCAUGGCUCAGAAUCAACGCUGGCGGCGCGCUUAACACAUGCAAGUCGAGCGAGAAAGUGGAGCAAUCCAUGAGUAAAGCGGCGUACGGGUGAGUAACACGUGGAUGAUCUACCUUCUAGUGGGGGAUAACGCUGGGAAACCGGCGCUAAUACCGCAUAAGCCUGCAAAGGGAAAGCAGCAAUGCGCUGGAAGAGGAGUCCGCGGCCGAUUAGCUAGUUGGUGAGGUAACGGCCCACCAAGGCGAUGAUCGGUAGCCGGCCUGAGAGGGCACACGGCCACACUGGCACUGAAACACGGGCCAGACUCCUACGGGAGGCAGCAGUGGGGAAUCUUGCACAAUGGGGGCAACCCUGAUGCAGCGACGCCGCGUGAGCGAUGAAGCCCUUCGGGGUGUAAAGCUCUUUCGGCAGGGACGAUAAUGACGGUACCUGAAGAAGAAGCUGCGGCUAACUACGUGCCAGCAGCCGCGGUAAUACGUAGGCAGCGAGCGUUGUUCGGAAUUACUGGGCGUAAAGAGUGUGUAGGCGGUGCUCUAAGUUCGGUGUGAAAUCUCCUGGCUUAACUGGGAGGGUGCGCCGGAAACUGGAGUGCUCGAGCGUGGGAGAGGAAAGCGGAAUUCCUGGUGUAGCGGUGAAAUGCGUAGAUAUCAGAGGAACACCUGCGGUGUAGACGGCUUUCUGGACCAUUGCUGACGCUGAGACACGAAAGCGUGGGUAGCAAACAGGAUUAGAUACCCUGGUAGUCCACGCCCUAAACGAUGCAUACUUGGUGUCGGCCAUUCAGUUGGUCGGUGCCGGAGCUAACGCGUUAAGU